AACAGCCUUUCCCUCAUCCACCAGACGGGUUACUAGAUCAUAGACGGAGACGAGGUUGGUCAAGCAGGACCUGUCCUUCAUGAAUCCAUGAUGGCUUGGCCUGAUUCCCCAGCUGUCCCACACAUGCCAUGUGAUCUCCUUCAAGACAAUCUGCUCCAUAACCUUCCCUGGCACUGAGGCUGGAUGCUAUGGGACCAGGAAGGCUUUCUUCUGUCAGCAAUGAGCUUUUAGAUCUGCUCAGUAAUCGCCAGAUACUUCACCCCAAAUUCUUGCACAAAGAGAGUGAGGAAGAGAAGUACCUUCACAUGUACUCUCACUAUACAUUCUGGUCUGGAAAGGGUACCAAGUGGACAUAGUUCAACAUCUACUGGGACAGAAAGGCUUAGCUCUGCAAUCUACUUGUCCAUAUGUCUUUCCAGACAACUUGAGAUAGCUGAGGUGUUUGUCAGACCCCUGAGGGAGAACAUUCAACUCAUCAUCUUGGCACAAAAAGAAGCUGGGCAGAAGAAAUAAAGAGGUGUUUUUCUUCAUUGUUACUACUGUGAUCAACUAAAGGAAGCCUGAAGAGCACAGAGAAAAGCUUGGCAUUAUACCAAAAUCAUAAACACACACACACACACACACAAACAUACUCCCCUACACAUGUCAAAGUGUGGUGAUUCCUGAACAGCAGCAGCAGGAGCACUGAGGGCAUGUGGAAAACACUGGGAUGACAGUGUGAGAGAUACAAGGGGGCUGAGAGCUGAGAAAGGCUGCCGUCAAAUGUCCUUAAAAUUAAUAGAUGAGGAACCAUCUGUGUACGCGGACUGGGAGGAAGCCAUACUCCAUGUGUUACUUACCUUGCUCCAAUCUCCUGGCCUACUUCUCUCACCUCCUACAGGCAGUUUUCAAAGGAACUGAGGUGAUCCUGAACAUUAGAUAAAAGAAAUCUGUACAUGGUGAUUCCUGUUUGACUGUAACCUUGGGAGAAAUAAACAAAAACUUGAAUGGAGAAAGUGAUGAAAUUGUGCUAACCUCUCUCCUGGGUUGCUUUGAGGGAUAUUCUAUCUAACAAAAGUAUGUGCAUAUUAUAUGCACUGUGUGGAAACAGUGCAGGAAGUGGGAGACAUCUGUAAUUCCACAGUUGUCUAAAUCUCUCUAUAUUUUUAUCAAUAGACAUAAAGGUAUUACCUUUACCCUAAAUUUGAAGCAUACGUGCCUGUCAUCUGAUGUAAAAUUUUGUUUACAUGGCAUUUAAAAAGAAAUAGAAGAAGACAAAUCAAAGGAAAGAACACUGGCAACGCAACUGGAAUUAGGGUAAACUAUGUUCCCUCUAGUGGUCUUAGAAGAUGAGCUCUGCAGGAGAGAUACAAAAAGAAAUUGUAUCUUGCAUAGUCUUGGGCAGUUUCCCUUUCUUCUGUCACAUAUUUCUUAAAAUGUGUAUAUAUAUGUAAAGAUCUACAGCCUUUUCUGUAGAUUUCCCAGGACUAGAAUUUUGAAGAAGAAUGGUUAAGAUGCAACUAAAAACAAAGAGAGAGAUGUUCUAUUUUUUAAAAAAAAAAAAAGGGUUAACUCUUAAAGGUGCUAGAGACAAAAAAGGCCUUUUAAUUUGUACUACAUUUCAUUUGUAUCCUUGCGUAACAUUUUGUUCACUGUUUGCCUAUGAAGAUAGUAAUAAGAUAGUAAUAAAUAUAUAUGAGUAUUUAUCCCUACCCCCGAAUGUUGUUUGUGAUCUGAUUUGAUGAUACAAAUGGUCUGAUUAGAUCAAACAUUUGAUCAUAAUUUAUGUUAUUUUUCUGACUGGGAUUGUUAUGGUGCACUUCUGAAAAAUGUAAAACUCUCAUUAAAUGCUCACAGUGCUGUUGUCAUUUGUGCUCUCUAAAUACAAUAUAGUUU
ensembl:lncRNA